CGACAUUUUGCCGAACACAUGGCACGCGCGCAGCAGUGGCAGCGAGACGAAGUAGGGAAGGUGCUGGGGCUGUUGGGUGCCAUCUCGAAGGGGCGUCGGGGAGGAGAUAGCAGGGGAGGCGCUGCUCCACCCAAACCAGAGAGAGGGCGCGAGAUCCGGUGUUUCCUGGCCGUGACAGGGAAGAGGAGGGAGGGGGCGAGCUCAUGUGCUGCUGCAUUGGAGAGGGAGGGAGCAGAGAGCUUGGGCGCCAUAGCUGCUGGGCGAAGUUGUAGGUGGAGGCGCCAUGGGAAACUUGAGCUCGAGCCAUGGAGCAGGGAGAUGCUGCUGCUCGCCCACAGG
rnacentral:misc_RNA from 1 species